GGAGUCUGGGCCGUAUCUCAGUCCCAAUGUGGCCGAUCACCCUCUCAGGCCGGCUACCGAUCGUCGCCUUGGUGGGCCGUUGCCCCGCCAACAACCUAAUCAGACGCAUCCCCAUCCCUUAGCGAUAAAUCUUUGUUCCAGCUCAGAUGUCCUCAUCGGAAAACAUAGGGUAUUAAUCCGACUUUCGCCGGGCUAUGCCC
rnacentral:rRNA from 1 species